GAUAAAAUAGUCUAAAUUAGGACAAAGAACCUAUACUUCUUGAGUGUCAGAUAAUGACUUUUAUUA
rnacentral:tRNA from 1 species